UACGAAGGGGGCUAGCGUUGCUCGGAAUCACUGGGCGUAAAGGGUGCGUAGGCGGGUCUUUAAGUCUGUUGUGAAAGCCCCGGGCUCAACCUGGGAAUGGCAAUGGAUACUGGCAGGCUAGAGUGCGGUAGAGGGUAGUGGAAUUCCCGGUGUAGCGGUGAAAUGCGUAGAGAUCGGGAGGAACACCAGUGGCGAAGGCGGCUACCUGGACCAGCACUGACACUGAGGCACGAAAGCGUGGGGAGCAAACAGG
rnacentral:rRNA from 1 species